rnacentral:rRNA from 1 species
GGGAUUGCCCUAGUAACGGCGAGUGAAGCGGCAACAGCUCAAAUUUGAAAUCUGGCCUCGGCCCGAGUUGUAAUUUGCAGAGGAAGCUUUAGGCGCGGCACCAUCUGAGUCCCCUGGAACGGGGCGCCAUAGAGGGUGAGAGCCCCGUAUAGUUGGACGCCCAGCCUGUGUAAAGCUCCUUCGACGAGUCGAGUAGUUUGGGAAUGCUGCUCAAAAUGGGAGGUAAAUUUCUUCUAAAGCUAAAUACCGGCCAGAGACCGAUAGCGCACAAGUAGAGUGAUCGAAAGAUGAAAAGCACUUUGAAAAGAGGGUUAAAUAGCACGUGAAAUUGUUGAAAGGGAAGCGCUUGUGACCAGACUUGCGCCGGGCGGAUCAUCCGGUGUUCUCACCGGUGCACUCCGCCCGGCUCAGGCCAGCAUCGGUUCUCGCGGGGGGAUAAAGGCCCCGGGAACGUAGCUCCUCCGGGAGUGUUAUAGCCCGGGGCGUAAUGCCCUCGCGGGGACCGAGGUUCGCGCAUCUGCAAGGAUGCUGGCGUAAUGGUCAUCAGCGACCCGUC